GGAGAGGUGCCGGAGUGGCCGAACGGGCCUGACUCGAAAUCAGGAAGCCUCGCAAGAGGCUCUAGGGUUCAAAUCCCUACCUCUCCGCCA
rnacentral:tRNA from 1 species